AAUAAACAGCCACAGCUUCAAAGUUCAGCAAUGUAAUUGAGCGGCUCCUUCAGCAAGAAGAUCAAAACCUCUCAAAAGCCUUAUCUGUCAACUUACAGAUAGAUACCCUCUACUCAAUGGGUGAUCAGUGGAGUCACAGAACUUGUACUGAAAUAAACAGAAAUUGGAGUAUUUAAUGACUGAACCAUGUUAAUGUAAUGUUUUAGUGUAACUCUGUCUCUAUGUGUUUUUGACAGAACGUGUGACAACAAUUACAGCAAUUACUCUCUAACAUCUGUGAAUUGAUGUGGUAACUGAGUUAACAAAGUGAGGGAACAGAUAUUCUAAUAUAUCUUGGAGACCAGUGUGUUAAAUCUUCUUGCUCCAAACUACUAAUGCAAACUAAGGAUGGAACCAAAAUUGGGUGCAAUAAUGUCCAAGCCGAAGCUGAUGCUAUAGAAAUUGUAAAUGUGUGCACGGAACAGAGUCAAAUAUGGAAUGAAGCUACAGCAAUCUUCAUAGAGUGCUCGGAAAUAAAAGAUAAGAUGGGAGAGUUCGGUUUACUCAUUGUGCAAGAGAAGCAAAUAGUGCGGCUCAUGAUAUAGAUAGAUUUUGUUUUUUACAUAAGAUUGAAUGUAAUUGGGUCAUAUUUUAUCAUUAGUAGGAUCGUGGACUAUGUAACUGUUUUUUUGAUAAUUGAUUUUGUUGGCUUUUCCUAAAAAAAGAGAUGGAACCUAACUACCUAAAUAAGCUACCUACAUUUGCCAGACCAGGACAAAAGGAAUCUAAACUCCGCAACAAGCUAGUAGCAAACAUCAAGCAAAGUUUCAAAAGCAAUAAUGCCCGCAGAUUUAUCCAACAGAGAUAGCAGGUGCCCGCAACCGCGAGAGCUAACGAACCCUAGAUCACAUGCCCAACUUUGGACUAAGGACACGGAUUGGGAGAGAGCAGCUACUAAAUGACCCCCAAAAGAUCUUCAGCGUACUAGUUACCUCUGGAGCGCAACGCGCUGUAUGUAACCCUAGGCCAUCUGGAGCGCCGCCGCUAGCCACGGCGGGGUACGCCACUUGGCGUUGAAGCCCCCGAGCCGAGGGGCCUCAGCGGGGGGAGCCC
rnacentral:lncRNA from 1 species